GAUGAACGCUAGCGGCAGGCUUAAUACAUGCAAGUCGUGGGGCAGCAUGAGUGUAGCAAUACAUUUGAUGGCGACCGGCAAACGGGUGCGGAACACGUACACAACCUUCCUAUAAGUGGGGAAUAGCCCAGAGAAAUUUGGAUUAAUACCCCGUAACAUAAUGAUGUUGCAUCACAUUAUUAUUAUAGCUUUGGCGCUUAUUGAUGGGUGUGCGGCUGAUUAGAUAGUUGGCGGGGUAACGGCCCACCAAGUCUACGAUCAGUAGCUGAUGUGAGAGCAUGAUCAGCCACACGGGCACUGAGACACGGGCCCGACUCCUACGGGAGGCAGCAGUAAGGAAUAUUGGUCAAUGGACGCAAGUCUGAACCAGCCAUGCCGCGUGAAGGAUUAAGGUCCUCUGGAUUGUAAACUUCUUUUAUCUGGGACGAAAAAAGGCGAUUCUUCGUCACUUGACGGUACCAGAUGAAUAAGCACCGGCUAACUCCGUGCCAGCCGCCGCCGUAACAC
rnacentral:rRNA from 1 species